AUGGGGUCAUAGCUCAGUGGUAGAGUGCUUGCUUACAUGCAUGAGGCACUGGGUUUGAUCCUCAGCACCACAUA
rnacentral:tRNA from 1 species